UGGUGGAGUGAUUUGUCUGGUUAAUUCCGAUAACGAACGAGACCUUAUCCUGCUAAAUAGCCAGGCUGGCUCUUGCCGGUCGUCGGCCUUCUUAGAGGGACUGCGGUAGCGUCUAGCCCGCGGAAGUUUGAGGCAAUAACA
rnacentral:rRNA from 1 species